rnacentral:rRNA from 1 species
UACGGAGGGUGCAAGCGAUAUUCGGAAUCACUGGGUUUAAAGGGGUCGUAGGCGGCUAAAUAAGUCAGAGGUGAAAGCUUGCAGCUUAACUGCGAAAUUGCCUUUGAUACUGUAUAGCUUGAAAGGAGCUGAGGUCAGCAGAAUGUGGCAUGUAGCGGUGAAAUGCAUAGAUAUGCCAUAGAAUACCAAUUGCGAAGGCAGCUGGCUGGGCUUACUUUGACGCUGAGGCACGAAAGCGUGGGGAUCGAACAGG